rnacentral:rRNA from 1 species
GACGAACGCUGGCGGCGUGCUUAACACAUGCAAGUCGAACGAAAAUACCAAGCUUGCUUGGUUGAUUAGUGGCGAACGGGUGAGUAACACGUGAGUAACCUGCCCCUUACUUUCCUGGAUAACUGCUCGAAAGGGUAGCUAAUACGGGAUAUUCUGACCGGCCUGCAUGGGUUGGUUUGGAAAGGUUGUUUUUUCUGGUGAGGGAUGGGCUCGCGGCCUAUCAGCUUGUUGGUGGGGUGAUGGCCUACCAAGGCUUUGACGGGUAGCCGGCCUGAGAGGGUGGACGGUCACACUGGGACUGAGAUACGGCCCAGACUCCUACGGGAGGCAGCAGUGGGGAAUAUUGCACAAUGGGCGCAAGCCUGAUGCAGCGACGCCGCGUGAGGGAUGAAGGCCUUCGGGUUGUAAACCUCUUUCGUCAGGGAACAAGGCACUACGUUUUGGUGGUGUUGAGGGUACCUGGAUAAGAAGCGCCGGCUAACUACGUGCCAGCAGCCGCGGUAAUACGUAGGGCGCAAGCGUUGUCCGGAAUUAUUGGGCGUAAAGAGCUCGUAGGCGGCUGGUCGCGUCUGUCGUGAAAACUUCCGGCUCAACCGGGGGCUUGCGGUGGGUACGGGCCGGCUAGAGUGCGGUAGGGGUAACUGGAACUCCUGGUGUAGCGGUGGAAUGCGCAGAUAUCAGGAAGAACACCGAUGGCGAAGGCAGGUUACUGGGCCGUUACUGACGCUGAGGAGCGAAAGCGUGGGGAGCGAACAGG